CAGAAACCGAAGGGUCGGCCUCACUCCCACCGUGCCUCCCCCAACAGCCUCGAGUCUGUUUCCUGGUGGAGGGUGAGAUGGGCUUGAAAACUUGCCCAAGGCUUUUUCCCUUCCAGCUGUGGAAGAAAAGGGCUUCAGUUCUUCCCCCUGCAUGUGAAGUCUGCACACCAGAUUCAUGCUCUCCCCUAGGUUCUGGUCAGGAGGCUUCUUGCCCCUUUCAAAUUGUUAUAAAGUUCAGCUAGAGAAUUCCUUCUCCCUAUGGAGUUUUACCCCCUUCUCCUCUGGCCACCCUCCUGAUGGAUCCCUGUGGUGUCAGGCAGGAAUGGGCUGCUUGGGGACCCAACGAGCUCCCAGGACCUUUCUGCUGCUUCCUCUACCCUUGUAUUUUGCUCGGCUCAGCUCUCUAACUUGACUCAGCUUGAGGUAAAGUUGGAAACUUCUCCCAAAAACAGACCUUCCGCUUCCCCAGUGGUGAUGUGUGUUUGGAAGAGGAGGGUCCCCCUUUCCCACUUCCGCAGUUGGGGCACUCACAGUAUUUGGGGUGUCUCCUGUGUCCUGCAGGGGCAGUCCGCUUCCUUCAGAGGGUCUGCGGCUCCUCUCAGGAUUGCUGGUUUGUUCUUGCAGUUGAUCUGGAGGGUUAUUCUCCAGCUGAGGGUAAGGGUCAGUGGACCCUGCAACUCUGCAGUUCCACCUCUGCCACCCCUGCCGCUACCGCCAAGCCAGUGACCUCAGGUGGCACGAAUAAUCAUGACAUUUGCUAAAUCCAGUUGGUAUUUACACAAGAGGAAACAUCAUUUGCAGAAAGUUGGCAAUUAUAGGUAAAUAUACAAACACAGAAAUUGAAAAUAGCCUGUUUGCUCUAUGUAACACGCAUAAAACCUGAAUACAUCCCAAUUCUAAGGGAUAAUUAUUGAUAUCAUUCAAACUUUCUAUUUGUUUUAAGGAGAACAUGGAAAACGUAUUUCUUGGUGUUGACGUUUAUCUCUACAAUGUCAACAUUUU
rnacentral:lncRNA from 1 species